GAAAUUUUGUGAGUUGAAAGAGAAUGGAAAUGAAAUAAAAUGUGUAGUGGAAAUCCUGAGCUGUAUCUACCACUUUAUAUAAUAAAAUAAAUGUUAAUUUGUAAAAUAUUAGUUUAAAGGUGACUUAUAAUUGCAGUAGUAUGUAGAGUUUAGUUGUAUGAAAUUGAAAAGUACGUACUAUUAAAAGCCAAACAUAAAUCCACUAAAAGGAAGUAGUAGAUGUUGGUGAAAUAGGUCAAAACAUGUGCUUCAAUCUCAGUAGCAGUAGUGAGAAUGGUCAUUAUCGGUUUUCAGCAGGCUGAUAUAAUUUUGAGCUUCCCUUAACUUGGCAGACCUAAGGAAUUGUAGGCCUGUAUUCCUGUCUCCUUCUAUGAACUUGACACAUUUAGCUUUAUCCUUCCAAGAGCCUGAAUGUAUCUGGACAUGCAUUCAAACUCUUCCUGAUUUCUAGCAUUGUUGGAACCCAACUGAUCAACUUCCCUGCUCCAGAGUCUUUAAUUUGUAGUGAAGAAUAUGCAUAGGUGAUAGGUGUUCCCUCAGCCAAAACAGACCAAUGAGCAGAAAUUAGAGAUUCACAACUGUCAUAAGUGGUCCAGGAUUUAUAAAAUUUAAAUCUAGGAAUAAUUACCUCAAAUCAUGUUGGGAAAUGCCUGCAUAAUUUCCCUCCUCCGUCAACUCAAAAUAGGCACUAGCGGAAACGUGAAAUAAAAGCGUAAUGACACAAAGAGAAUUUUAGCGUGGAAAACCUUCUCAAUAUGAGAAAGGGAAAAACCACGGGACCCUUGGGCCUCUUAAAAACUUCCACUAUAAUGAUAAUGGGAAUACAACAACUUCACCCUUAGGUGGAUCUCACUACAAUAUAUCUCUCAAUUUGUAAGGAACACUCUCACAAAUUGGCUCACUAUUUCUCUCACAAGAAAACUCUCUAUGAGGAUGACUUUUCUCUUGAGCAAGGUUCUCUUUCUCUCUUGCUCUUUGUUGUUCUUCUCUUAUGGUGUGUUGUGAAUGCUUGAUCAUGGUCCUAUUUAUAGGAGGAGCAAGCCAAAGUUGCCUUACAUGCAUGAAGACACUUGUCAUUUGCCUUUCAUGCAAAACACCAAGUGUCCCUUGCAAUGCAUGCACCACACCAAGUGUCUCUCAUGCAUUACACCAUGUGUUACUCAUACACUACACCAUGUGUACACCAUGCAUCCUGCUACUUAUCAUCACAUGCAACCUUCCAUCUUGUCAAAUGUAUGUUGGACAUGUGGCAAUGGCUGGACCCCACAUUUCUCCCCCUCCAGCCAUAGGGGAGUGCCUUGAUUAAUUUGGGGUUGCUGCCAAUCCAGCAGCUUGUUUGCAAAACUCUAUCUUCUCUUUUGGUAGAGCUUUUGUCAUCAUAUCUGCUCCGUUCUCAUUGGUGUGAACUUUCUCUACUUUCAACAAUUUACUUUCCAACACAUCACGAAUCCAGUGAUACCUCACAUCAAUGUGUUUUGAUCUGGAGUGGUAUGUUGAGUUCUUGCUGAGAUGAAUUGCGCUCUGACUGUCGCAAUAGAGAACAUAACUUUCUUGACUUUGGCCUAACUCUUGCAGGAACUUCUUCAUCCACAGGAUCUCCUUACAACCUUCAGUGAUUGCGAUGUAUUCAGCUUCUGUGGUACUCAAAGCAAUGCACUUUUGUAAUCGUGAUUGCCAUGAAACAGCUCCCCCUGCAAAAGUGAUCAAAUAUCCGGAAGUAGAUUUUCUGGAAUCUACAUCUCCUGCCAUAUCUGCAUCUACAUGCCCAAUGAGUAAUUGAUUUUCAUUGCCAAAGCGCAAACAUUGUUUGGCAGUUCCUCUUAGAUACCUCAAUAUCCAUUUCACAGCAUUCCAAUGCUCUUUUCCUGGAUUCGACAGGAAUCUACUCACAACUCCUACCGCAUAAGCAAUGUCUGGUCUUGUGCAAACCAUUGCGUACAUAAGGCUACCCACAGCUGAAGAAUAGGGCACCUUGCUCAUUUCUUCUUUCUCUUGGUCAUUCUCAGGACAUUGUGUCUUACUGAGUUUCAAAUGACCAGGUAGUGGAACAUGCACAGGUUUUGCAUUAUGCAUGUUGAACCUUUCAAGAACUUUCUUGAUAUAAUCUUCUUGUGACAUCCACAACAUUCUUUUAGAACGAUCUCUAACGAUCUUCAUUCCAAGAAUCUUCUUCACUGCACCCAAAUCCUUCAUAGCAAAAGAUUUGCUCAAAGCUUUCUUGAGAGCAGCUAUCUUUGCUUUAUCUUUUCCAACAAUAAGCAUAUCAUCAACAUACAAUAAGAGUAUGAUGGAUUCUCCAUUUUCAUAGUUCUUCACAAACACGCAAUGAUCUGUUGACAUCUUUGUGAAAUAGUGUUGGGUCAUGAAGAGAUCAAACUUCUUGUACCAUUGUCUUGGAGCCUGUUUUAAGCCAUAUAGACUUUUCUUCAAGCGACACACAAGGUGUUCUUUGCCUGGUUCAAUGAAACCUUCAGGUUGCUCCAUGUAGAUUUCUUCCUCUAGCUCUCCGUGCAAGAAUGUUGUUUUAACAUCAAGUUGUUCUAUUUCUAAGUCUAGUUUUGCAGUUAGACCAAGGAUUGCUCUAAUGGAUGUCAUCUUCACCACCGGUGAGAAUAUUUCUUCAAAAUCAACGUCUUUCUUUUGAUGGCACCCCUUCACGACUAUUCGUGCCUUGUAUCUGGGAUUUGGGUUGUUCUCUUCAGACUUGAGUUUAAACACCCAUUUAUUUUUCAAUGCCCUCUUUCCAUCUGGUAAUUUGACCAGGUCAUACGUGUCAUUCUCCUUUAGGGAUUGCAUCUCUUCUUCCAUGGAUUGCAACCAUUUUUCUUUAUUGGUUGUCUCUAUGGCUUCCAUGAAGCUUUGAGGUUCGCCUUCCUCGGUGAAGUUUACAUAUUCACCUGAGAAGUAUCUUCUUGAUGGUUGUCUAGAUCUCGUUGAUCUUCUCAAUUGAGGUUCUUGUUCCAUCUCAACAUCAUCAUCAUCAUCUGCCAUAUGCUCUUCAUGUAUUGCUUGAUUUUGGUCUACCUGAUCAGGCUCAUCCAUCUGAUUGGGUUCUGUUAGCUGAUCACGAUCAUAAUUCAUUUGAGGAAUCUCUCCCCCUGAAUUGUGUACCACAAUGGCCUUUGGCUUAUUAGAUUGAAUGUCGUGGAUUGUCUGAUCUUCAUAGAAUACCACAUCUCUACUUCGAACAAGUUUUUUAGUAGCAGGAUCCCAUAAUCUAAAGCCAAGUUCAUCUCUUGGUGAACCAAGGUAUAUGCACUCCUUCGUCUUAGCAUCUAGCUUUGCUUUUUCAUCUUUUGGAACAUGGACAAAUGCCCUGCAUCCAAAGACUCUCAAAUGACCAUAGAAGGCUUUCUUUCCAUACCAUACUUCAUCUGGUAUCUCUCCAUUUAAAGGUCUUGAAGGAGACAAAUUUAUCAAAUCAACUGCAGUUCUCACUACUUCACCCCAAAAUGAUUUGGGAAGUUUUGCUUGAGAAAGCAUGCUUCUGACUUUCUCUGCAAUUGUUCUAUUCAUCCUUUCAGCUACUCCAUUCAUCUGAGGAGUCUUGGGAGGUACUUUCUCAUGUCUUAUUCCAUGAGAUUUACAGUAGGCUGCAAAUUGGCCUAUAUACUCUCCACCAUUAUCUGUCCUUAAACAUUUCAGUUUUCUACCAGAUGCCUGUUCUACAUAGGCAUGAAAUUCUUUGAAAACAUGAAGAACUUGAUCUUUCGUCUUCAAUGGAUACACCCAUACUUUUCUAGAGUGAUCGUCAAUGAAGGUAACAAAGUAUUGUGAGCCACCAAGGGACCUUUCAGAUGUAGAGCAAACAUCUGAAUGAACAAGAUCUAAGAUAUGCUUUCUUCUUCUUGCAUCAUCUGAUCUUUGAAAGGAUACUCUGUGUUGUUUUCCUGCUAGACAAUCUUCACGGGAUUCAAGUGGUUGACCCUUGAUGUUUGGAAGAUGAUUCUUAGCAAGAAUAUCCAAACUUUUCUCGCUCAUGUGGCCAAGUCGUUUGUGCCACAAUUCCUUGCUCUUGUCUUGAGAUACAUUAAUAUCUCCCUUGUUUAUCUUUCCCUGCAUCAUAUACAGAGAGCCUUCCUUUUUACCACGAGCAAUGGUCAUACUUCCCUUACUGAGCUUCCAUCUACCAGCUCCAAAUUGGUUUAUCAUCCCAGCAUCAUCUAACUUUCCUGUUGAGAUAAGGUUUAGACGCAUGUCUGGAACAUGUCUAACCUCCUUCAAUACGAGCUUACAACCAUUCUCUGUAACCAUAGUCACCUCGCCAAUGCCAACAAUUGCUUGUGACUUGAUUGCCCAUCUUCACCAUACCAAAAUCUCCUUUUUGAUAUGAUGAGAAGAAUUCUUCAUGAGGGGUUACAUACAUGAAAGGAUGCUCCUGAGUCAAUUUUCCAAAUGCAGUCAUCAGACGCUACAUUUAGAUAGUUCUCCUCUUCAACAAGAAAGAAAUUCUCGUUAGUUGCUACGACUGCUGUCGUGAUUCCAUCUUCUUUAUUCUUCUUUGGGUUUAUCAGAUCUGGAUGGACUGUUCCAACCUGUUGAUUUUCUUCAAGAAUCUGCACUCAUGUCUUUUGUGACCCGGUUUGCCACAAUAAUAACAACUUGGUCUAGUGCGGGACUUGGAUCGAGCUUGUGAUCUCCCACGACCACCUCUUUCACGAUUCUUACUCCUUCCUCUAUUAUCAACAAUAUUUGCUUCGAACUGGUUGUUGAAGCCUCUUUCCCUCCAUCUUGAUUCUUCACUUAGCAAGGAAUCUGUAACAGAAUCCAUGACAAGUUUCCCAUCUGGAGCAGAGUUACUGAGAGUGACGACUAGAGUGUCCCAACUCUCAGGUAGAGAACUUAGGAGUAGAAGAGUUUGCAACUCAUCAUCUAUCUUCAUGUCAGUCUUCGUUAGUUGAUUCACAAUACCUUUGAAUGUAUUCAAAUGCUCGAUCAUGUUAUGGUCAUCUGAGUACUCCAAUUUCACAAGUCGUCUAACAAGGUGGGCUUUGUUCCUUGGCGUCUUCUUUUGAAUCAAGGAUUCAAGUUUUAUUCAUAACUCAUACGCAUUGGUAUAAGUUGACACAUGCUCGAACAGACUUCUGUCGAUGUAUUUUCUGAUCAUGGCUACUGCCUUCCGAUUUUGAAGCUCCCACUCUGUAUCGGUCUUCUUCUCAGGUUUAUCCUUUCGGGUGAUUGACUCAUGAAAGUCUUUGCAAUACAAGUGGUCUUCCAUCAUCGGCUUCCAAUAUGAGUAGUUUUCAGCAGUUAGCUUGAACAUAUCACCAUCAUGGCUGAUUGAACUCUCCAUCUUGAGUUACACAGGAAAUAUUUUCUUUAACCAACUGCCUAAUAUCGUAUACUAAAAAAAAUAUGAGUUCGUGAAUAGUGCACCAGGAAGGUUCCCAGGUAAGAGAGGUGGGUCAAAAGACACGCUUAAAUACCAAGUCUUUCCUUGCCAGAACUCCUAGACAUGCAAUAUAUCACUACCUCAAUUUAUUUCUAGCGACAAGAAAUUUCUUUUCUGAUGUGGAAGAUCAAACAAUGUUGCAGCCACAGAGCAUACUAAGAACUAUCUUGCAGAUACGAUACCUCACAGUCCCAGAGCAACGAGUGCUCUGAUACCACUGUUGGGAAAUGCCUGCUGUAACACCCCGUUUCCCAAAAAUCAAUUAAUAAAACAUGCAUCAGAGUAAUUCCCAAACGGGCAUGUCACACUUCAUUUUCAAAAUUUCUUAAAUAGAAUAUAAAAUCAAUUUAGUAAACGUCCUUGAAAGUCAUCAUUAAAUUUGCAGCGGAAAAUUUGCAUCAAAACAACAACAGCAACAGUUUAAAUCUCCAUAAUUAAAUCUUUGGCAUAAAAGCCUUAUCAACAUAAAUUCAACAACCAUAGGGCUACGUCAGCAAUAUUCAAAAUUGAUACAUAGGAAUGAAAAACAAUAAGAAAAUCCCAUCCCAUACGUAUCAGAGCCCUAGACACUUUGAGCCACCACUUCUAAUAAGCUUCAAUACCUGCAAGUUACCCAUACGAAGGGCAACAAUUCCAAGCAGAAGGGGUGAGAUUCACAAACAAUAAUAAUAGAUAUAUAAAUCAUCAACUUAAUUAAAUAACGUAAUAAGCAACAUAUAUUCCCACAAUAAUAUUCAUACUUCUUCAACUUUAAUAACUCUUACUAAAUCAACCAACAACGACAACAACAACAAUAUCUCCAUCAACAACAACGACCACAACACAACCUACAACAACGACAAUAUCACCAUCAACGACAACGACAACAUCAUCCACUACAUCAACGACAACGAACGACAGGGUACUAUUUUCAACUCAAUGAAUGACUAAGCAUUCCGAGGCAUAAGCCCCCAACAAUUUGAAUGAUGAACAUUCCAGGGCAUGAGCCCUCAACAGAUUGAAUGACAAGGCAAUUCCAGGGCAUAAGCCCUCAACGGUUGAAUGAUUAACAUUCCAGGGCAUGAGCCCUCAACAAUUUGAAUGACAAAGCAUUCCAGAGCAUGAGCCCUCAACAGAUUGAAUGACAAGGCAUUCCAGGGCAUAAGCCCUCAACAUUUGAAUGACAAAGCAUUCCAGGGCAUAAGCCCUCAACGGUUGAAUGACGAGCAUUCCAGGGCAUGAGCCCUCAACGGUUUCCUAAUCAUGAAAGGACUCGACUUGUGUAUAUCAACAUACAACUCAACUACGACAACGACUGUGCAUAAUAACUUAUGACUUACUCCCCAACUUGGUCAACAUCAACAACCUAUGACUCCGUUACUUAGAACGACAACUUGCAACCUUACAACCUGAACCAACAUCUUGUAUAAUCCAAUUGAAUGCAUUUAUGCAUAAACCAACAAUCAGCAGCAAAUCAUAUUCAAUUCAACAACAACAUAUAAUAAUAAGCAGCGAGACAACAACAAUAAUAACCAUCAUAUACAACGAGUAGGACUCAUAUCAACAUCUUUCAUAAUAUAUAACUAUCUCCUCAUUUGUUCAUCAACCUAAGUCGACGUCAUUAAACAUUACAAACAUCCUCUCUGAAUCUCCGUAUAAUCAAGAAUAACUUCUCUCCUACCUCAAGGGUCUACUCAUAUCAUCACGUGCGACAAAAGAUCGCAAAAUCCUAAACAAGGCUUCUGAAAUGGGACAACUCGCGAGGCGAGAGGCUCUACUCGCCAUGGCGAGUUAGGGUAAACUACUCACCAUUCCAUUCUGACACCAUUCCAAGUUCGAUCUCAUUCUAAAACUUUGCCUAAUCAUUAAGGUAUAUGUUCAGGCCCUCAUAAACACCCAAGGUUAAACUCACAGCUCAAAAACACGAAAUCUUGCAAGCUCUCUGCCCACACUCGCCACGGCGAGUAAACUUGCUCGCUAUGGCGAGCUGCGAAAUGCAACUCGCGAGGCGACCACUCCUGCUCGCGAGGCGAGCGAUGAUCUUCAUCACUCGCUAUGGCGAGGUUCAUCACUCGGGAGGCGAGCGAUGAAUAACAGUACGGCCAGGUUACAGUUUUUCUCAAAAAUUCACCCAAUUCCAUGGUUCUAACCUUAGAACUGAUUCUAAACAUCAAUAUAUGAAUUAUCUAAAGUCUGUUCAUCAUUUCUACAUCAAUUCACCCUAAUUCCAUCAUUUAAUCAUCAAUUCUCUCCUUAACCCUAAUUCCCAAUUCUCCAAAUUUAUUCAUAAUCUUUAUUAAACAGAAUCAGAAUUAUAUAAACUAAAAUCAUUGCAAGUUAGCCUCACCCUUACCUUAGAUAAUCGAAAUCGCAGCCCUUCUUGGUUCUCUUCCCUUUUCUUGACUUUUCUCCCUUUUCUCUGUUGUACGUAAAAACUGCUUCCCCCACUUCUAUUUUCUAAUUCUUUAAUAAAUAUAAUCUCCCAAUAUUCACUUUACUCCCCCUAAGUUUACUUAAUUCUCGUAUAACCCCCAAACUCCAAUUAAAUCCUAUUUCUCACUUAUUCUAUUAAAUACUAAAAAUAGCCAUUUAAUAAAAUACACCACACCACAAAACAACAUAAAUGAUUUAAAAAUCAUAUAAAGGACUUUAAAUAACUAAAAAUAAUUAAAUAAAAUUGGGGCGUUACAACUCUCCCCAACUUUAGAAUUUUCGUCCUCGAAAAUAUACCUCUAAAACAUAACCCUGCACCACAAACAACAAUCAGAACAAUUAACAAUACAACAUUAGAGUUGACACUCUAUCCUAGGUGGCUCAACACGACUCUACUACUUGGCCGGACGGACCAACCUGCUCUGAUACCAAUUGUAACACCCCGUUUCCCAAAAAUCAAUUAAUAAAACAUGCAUCAGAGUAAUUCCCAAACGGGCAUGUCACACUUCAUUUUCAAAAUUUCUUAAAUAGAAUAUAAAAUCAAUUUAGUAAACGUCCUUGAAAGUCAUCAUUAAAUUUGCAGCGGAAAAUUUGCAUCAAAACAACAACAGCAACAGUUUAAAUCUCCAUAAUUAAAUCUUUGGCAUAAAAGCCUUAUCAACAUAAAUUCAACAACCAUAGGGCUACGUCAGCAAUAUUCAAAAUUGAUACAUAGGAAUGAAAAACAAUAAGAAAAUCCCAUCCCAUACGUAUCAGAGCCCUAGACACUUUGAGCCACCACUUCUAAUAAGCUUCAAUACCUGCAAGUUACCCAUACGAAGGGCAACAAUUCCAAGCAGAAGGGGUGAGAUUCACAAACAAUAAUAAUAGAUAUAUAAAUCAUCAACUUAAUUAAAUAACGUAAUAAGCAACAUAUAUUCCCACAAUAAUAUUCAUACUUCUUCAACUUUAAUAACUCUUACUAAAUCAACCAACAACGACAACAACAACAAUAUCUCCAUCAACAACAACGACCACAACACAACCUACAACAACGACAAUAUCACCAUCAACGACAACGACAACAUCAUCCACUACAUCAACGACAACGAACGACAGGGUACUAUUUUCAACUCAAUGAAUGACUAAGCAUUCCGAGGCAUAAGCCCCCAACAAUUUGAAUGAUGAACAUUCCAGGGCAUGAGCCCUCAACAGAUUGAAUGACAAGGCAAUUCCAGGGCAUAAGCCCUCAACGGUUGAAUGAUUAACAUUCCAGGGCAUGAGCCCUCAACAAUUUGAAUGACAAAGCAUUCCAGAGCAUGAGCCCUCAACAGAUUGAAUGACAAGGCAUUCCAGGGCAUAAGCCCUCAACAUUUGAAUGACAAAGCAUUCCAGGGCAUAAGCCCUCAACGGUUGAAUGACGAGCAUUCCAGGGCAUGAGCCCUCAACGGUUUCCUAAUCAUGAAAGGACUCGACUUGUGUAUAUCAACAUACAACUCAACUACGACAACGACUGUGCAUAAUAACUUAUGACUUACUCCCCAACUUGGUCAACAUCAACAACCUAUGACUCCGUUACUUAGAACGACAACUUGCAACCUUACAACCUGAACCAACAUCUUGUAUAAUCCAAUUGAAUGCAUUUAUGCAUAAACCAACAAUCAGCAGCAAAUCAUAUUCAAUUCAACAACAACAUAUAAUAAUAAGCAGCGAGACAACAACAAUAAUAACCAUCAUAUACAACGAGUAGGACUCAUAUCAACAUCUUUCAUAAUAUAUAACUAUCUCCUCAUUUGUUCAUCAACCUAAGUCGACGUCAUUAAACAUUACAAACAUCCUCUCUGAAUCUCCGUAUAAUCAAGAAUAACUUCUCUCCUACCUCAAGGGUCUACUCAUAUCAUCACGUGCGACAAAAGAUCGCAAAAUCCUAAACAAGGCUUCUGAAAUGGGACAACUCGCGAGGCGAGAGGCUCUACUCGCCAUGGCGAGUUAGGGUAAACUACUCACCAUUCCAUUCUGACACCAUUCCAAGUUCGAUCUCAUUCUAAAACUUUGCCUAAUCAUUAAGGUAUAUGUUCAGGCCCUCAUAAACACCCAAGGUUAAACUCACAGCUCAAAAACACGAAAUCUUGCAAGCUCUCUGCCCACACUCGCCACGGCGAGUAAACUUGCUCGCUAUGGCGAGCUGCGAAAUGCAACUCGCGAGGCGACCACUCCUGCUCGCGAGGCGAGCGAUGAUCUUCAUCACUCGCUAUGGCGAGGUUCAUCACUCGGGAGGCGAGCGAUGAAUAACAGUACGGCCAGGUUACAGUUUUUCUCAAAAAUUCACCCAAUUCCAUGGUUCUAACCUUAGAACUGAUUCUAAACAUCAAUAUAUGAAUUAUCUAAAGUCUGUUCAUCAUUUCUACAUCAAUUCACCCUAAUUCCAUCAUUUAAUCAUCAAUUCUCUCCUUAACCCUAAUUCCCAAUUCUCCAAAUUUAUUCAUAAUCUUUAUUAAACAGAAUCAGAAUUAUAUAAACUAAAAUCAUUGCAAGUUAGCCUCACCCUUACCUUAGAUAAUCGAAAUCGCAGCCCUUCUUGGUUCUCUUCCCUUUUCUUGACUUUUCUCCCUUUUCUCUGUUGUACGUAAAAACUGCUUCCCCCACUUCUAUUUUCUAAUUCUUUAAUAAAUAUAAUCUCCCAAUAUUCACUUUACUCCCCCUAAGUUUACUUAAUUCUCGUAUAACCCCCAAACUCCAAUUAAAUCCUAUUUCUCACUUAUUCUAUUAAAUACUAAAAAUAGCCAUUUAAUAAAAUACACCACACCACAAAACAACAUAAAUGAUUUAAAAAUCAUAUAAAGGACUUUAAAUAACUAAAAAUAAUUAAAUAAAAUUGGGGCGUUACAACUCUCCCCAACUUUAGAAUUUUCGUCCUCGAAAAUAUACCUCUAAAACAUAACCCUGCACCACAAACAACAAUCAGAACAAUUAACAAUACAACAUUAGAGUUGACACUCUAUCCUAGGUGGCUCAACACGACUCUACUACUUGGCCGGACGGACCAACCUGCUCUGAUACCAAUUGUAACACCCCGUUUCCCAAAAAUCAAUUAAUAAAACAUGCAUCAGAGUAAUUCCCAAACGGGCAUGUCACACUUCAUUUUCAAAAUUUCUUAAAUAGAAUAUAAAAUCAAUUUAGUAAACGUCCUUGAAAGUCAUCAUUAAAUUUGCAGCGGAAAAUUUGCAUCAAAACAACAACAGCAACAGUUUAAAUCUCCAUAAUUAAAUCUUUGGCAUAAAAGCCUUAUCAACAUAAAUUCAACAACCAUAGGGCUACGUCAGCAAUAUUCAAAAUUGAUACAUAGGAAUGAAAAACAAUAAGAAAAUCCCAUCCCAUACGUAUCAGAGCCCUAGACACUUUGAGCCACCACUUCUAAUAAGCUUCAAUACCUGCAAGUUACCCAUACGAAGGGCAACAAUUCCAAGCAGAAGGGGUGAGAUUCACAAACAAUAAUAAUAGAUAUAUAAAUCAUCAACUUAAUUAAAUAACGUAAUAAGCAACAUAUAUUCCCACAAUAAUAUUCAUACUUCUUCAACUUUAAUAACUCUUACUAAAUCAACCAACAACGACAACAACAACAAUAUCUCCAUCAACAACAACGACCACAACACAACCUACAACAACGACAAUAUCACCAUCAACGACAACGACAACAUCAUCCACUACAUCAACGACAACGAACGACAGGGUACUAUUUUCAACUCAAUGAAUGACUAAGCAUUCCGAGGCAUAAGCCCCCAACAAUUUGAAUGAUGAACAUUCCAGGGCAUGAGCCCUCAACAGAUUGAAUGACAAGGCAAUUCCAGGGCAUAAGCCCUCAACGGUUGAAUGAUUAACAUUCCAGGGCAUGAGCCCUCAACAAUUUGAAUGACAAAGCAUUCCAGAGCAUGAGCCCUCAACAGAUUGAAUGACAAGGCAUUCCAGGGCAUAAGCCCUCAACAUUUGAAUGACAAAGCAUUCCAGGGCAUAAGCCCUCAACGGUUGAAUGACGAGCAUUCCAGGGCAUGAGCCCUCAACGGUUUCCUAAUCAUGAAAGGACUCGACUUGUGUAUAUCAACAUACAACUCAACUACGACAACGACUGUGCAUAAUAACUUAUGACUUACUCCCCAACUUGGUCAACAUCAACAACCUAUGACUCCGUUACUUAGAACGACAACUUGCAACCUUACAACCUGAACCAACAUCUUGUAUAAUCCAAUUGAAUGCAUUUAUGCAUAAACCAACAAUCAGCAGCAAAUCAUAUUCAAUUCAACAACAACAUAUAAUAAUAAGCAGCGAGACAACAACAAUAAUAACCAUCAUAUACAACGAGUAGGACUCAUAUCAACAUCUUUCAUAAUAUAUAACUAUCUCCUCAUUUGUUCAUCAACCUAAGUCGACGUCAUUAAACAUUACAAACAUCCUCUCUGAAUCUCCGUAUAAUCAAGAAUAACUUCUCUCCUACCUCAAGGGUCUACUCAUAUCAUCACGUGCGACAAAAGAUCGCAAAAUCCUAAACAAGGCUUCUGAAAUGGGACAACUCGCGAGGCGAGAGGCUCUACUCGCCAUGGCGAGUUAGGGUAAACUACUCACCAUUCCAUUCUGACACCAUUCCAAGUUCGAUCUCAUUCUAAAACUUUGCCUAAUCAUUAAGGUAUAUGUUCAGGCCCUCAUAAACACCCAAGGUUAAACUCACAGCUCAAAAACACGAAAUCUUGCAAGCUCUCUGCCCACACUCGCCACGGCGAGUAAACUUGCUCGCUAUGGCGAGCUGCGAAAUGCAACUCGCGAGGCGACCACUCCUGCUCGCGAGGCGAGCGAUGAUCUUCAUCACUCGCUAUGGCGAGGUUCAUCACUCGGGAGGCGAGCGAUGAAUAACAGUACGGCCAGGUUACAGUUUUUCUCAAAAAUUCACCCAAUUCCAUGGUUCUAACCUUAGAACUGAUUCUAAACAUCAAUAUAUGAAUUAUCUAAAGUCUGUUCAUCAUUUCUACAUCAAUUCACCCUAAUUCCAUCAUUUAAUCAUCAAUUCUCUCCUUAACCCUAAUUCCCAAUUCUCCAAAUUUAUUCAUAAUCUUUAUUAAACAGAAUCAGAAUUAUAUAAACUAAAAUCAUUGCAAGUUAGCCUCACCCUUACCUUAGAUAAUCGAAAUCGCAGCCCUUCUUGGUUCUCUUCCCUUUUCUUGACUUUUCUCCCUUUUCUCUGUUGUACGUAAAAACUGCUUCCCCCACUUCUAUUUUCUAAUUCUUUAAUAAAUAUAAUCUCCCAAUAUUCACUUUACUCCCCCUAAGUUUACUUAAUUCUCGUAUAACCCCCAAACUCCAAUUAAAUCCUAUUUCUCACUUAUUCUAUUAAAUACUAAAAAUAGCCAUUUAAUAAAAUACACCACACCACAAAACAACAUAAAUGAUUUAAAAAUCAUAUAAAGGACUUUAAAUAACUAAAAAUAAUUAAAUAAAAUUGGGGCGUUACACCUGCAUAAUUUCCCUCCUCCGUCAACUCAAAAUAAGCACUAGCGGAAACGUGAAAUAAAAGUGUAAUGACACAAAGAGAAUUUUAGCAUGGAAAACCUUCUCAAUAUGAGAAAGGGAAAAACCACGGGACCCUUGGGCCUCUUAAAAACUUCCACUAUAAUGAUAAUGGGAAUACAACAACUUCACCCUUAGGUGGAUCUCACUACAAUAUAUCUCUCAAUUUGUAAGGAACACUCUCACAAAUUGGCUCGCUAUUUCUCUCACAAGAAAACUCUCUAUGAGGAUGACUUUUCUCUUGAGCAAGGUUCUCUUUCUCUCUUGCUCUUUGUUGUUCUUCUCUUAUGGUGUGUUGUGAAUGCUUGAUCAUGGUCCUAUUUAUAGGAGGAGCAAGCCAAAGUUGCCUUACAUGCAUGAAGACACUUGUCAUUUGCCUUUCAUGCAAAACACCAAGUGUCCCUUGCAAUGCAUGCACCACACCAAGUGUCUCUCAUGCAUUACACCAUGUGUUACUCAUACACUACACCAUGUGUACACCAUGCAUCCUGCUACUUGUCAUCACAUGCAACCUUCCAUCUUGUCAAAUGUAUGUUGG
rnacentral:lncRNA from 1 species